rnacentral:rRNA from 1 species
GAUGAACGCUGGCGGCGUGCCUAAUACAUGCAAGUCGAGCGAACGGACGAGAAGCUUGCUUCUCUGAUGUUAGCGGCAGACGGGUGAGUAACACGUGGAUAACCUACCUAUAAGACUGGGAUAACUUCGGGAAACCGGAGCUAAUACCGGAUAAUAUUUUGAACCGCAUGGUUCAAAAGCGAAAGACGGUCUUGCUGUCACUUAUAGAUGGAUCCGCGCUGCAUUAGCUAGUUGGUAAGGUAACGGCUUACCAAGGCAACGAUGCAUAGCCGACCUGAGAGGGUGAUCGGCCACACUGGAACUGAGACACGGUCCAGACUCCUACGGGAGGCAGCAGUAGGGAAUCUUCCGCAAAGGGCGAAAGCCUGACGGAGCAACGCCGCGUGAGUGAUGAAGGUCUUCGGAUCGUAAAACUCUGUUAUUAGGGAAGAACAUAUGUGUAAGUAACUGUGCACAUCUUGACGGUACCUAAUCAGAAAGCCACGGCUAACUACGUG